rnacentral:rRNA from 8 species
AAAUUGAAGAGUUUGAUCAUGGCUCAGAUUGAACGCUGGCGGCAGGCCUAACACAUGCAAGUCGAACGGUAACAGGAAGCAGCUUGCUGCUUUGCUGACGAGUGGCGGACGGGUGAGUAAUGUCUGGGAAACUGCCUGAUGGAGGGGGAUAACUACUGGAAACGGUGGCUAAUACCGCAUAACGUCGCAAGACCAAAGAGGGGGACCUUCGGGCCUCUUGCCAUCAGAUGUGCCCAGAUGGGAUUAGCUAGUUGGUGAGGUAACGGCUCACCAAGGCGACGAUCCCUAGCUGGUCUGAGAGGAUGACCAGCCACACUGGAACUGAGACACGGUCCAGACUCCUACGGGAGGCAGCAGUGGGGAAUAUUGCACAAUGGGCGCAAGCCUGAUGCAGCCAUGCCGCGUGUAUGAAGAAGGCCUUCGGGUUGUAAAGUACUUUCAGCGGGGAGGAAGGUGUUGUGGUUAAUAACCGCAGCAAUUGACGUUACCCGCAGAAGAAGCACCGGCUAACUCCGUGCCAGCAGCCGCGGUAAUACGGAGGGUGCAAGCGUUAAUCGGAAUUACUGGGCGUAAAGCGCACGCAGGCGGUCUGUCAAGUCGGAUGUGAAAUCCCCGGGCUCAACCUGGGAACUGCAUUCGAAACUGGCAGGCUUGAGUCUUGUAGAGGGGGGUAGAAUUCCAGGUGUAGCGGUGAAAUGCGUAGAGAUCUGGAGGAAUACCGGUGGCGAAGGCGGCCCCCUGGACAAAGACUGACGCUCAGGUGCGAAAGCGUGGGGAGCAAACAGGAUUAGAUACCCUGGUAGUCCACGCCGUAAACGAUGUCUACUUGGAGGUUGUGCCCUUGAGGCGUGGCUUCCGGAGCUAACGCGUUAAGUAGACCGCCUGGGGAGUACGGCCGCAAGGUUAAAACUCAAAUGAAUUGACGGGGGCCCGCACAAGCGGUGGAGCAUGUGGUUUAAUUCGAUGCAACGCGAAGAACCUUACCUGGUCUUGACAUCCACAGAACUUUCCAGAGAUGGAUUGGUGCCUUCGGGAACUGUGAGACAGGUGCUGCAUGGCUGUCGUCAGCUCGUGUUGUGAAAUGUUGGGUUAAGUCCCGCAACGAGCGCAACCCUUAUCCUUUGUUGCCAGCGGUCCGGCCGGGAACUCAAAGGAGACUGCCAGUGAUAAACUGGAGGAAGGUGGGGAUGACGUCAAGUCAUCAUGGCCCUUACGACCAGGGCUACACACGUGCUACAAUGGCGCAUACAAAGAGAAGCGACCUCGCGAGAGCAAGCGGACCUCAUAAAGUGCGUCGUAGUCCGGAUUGGAGUCUGCAACUCGACUCCAUGAAGUCGGAAUCGCUAGUAAUCGUGGAUCAGAAUGCCACGGUGAAUACGUUCCCGGGCCUUGUACACACCGCCCGUCACACCAUGGGAGUGGGUUGCAAAAGAAGUAGGUAGCUUAACCUUCGGGAGGGCGCUUACCACUUUGUGAUUCAUGACUGGGGUGAAGUCGUAACAAGGUAACCGUAGGGGAACCUGCGGUUGGAUCACCUCCUUACCUUAAAGAAGC